GAUGAACGCUGGCGGCGUGCCUAAUACAUGCAAGUCGAGCGAACGGACGAGAAGCUUGCUUUUCUGAUGUUAGCGGCGGACGGGUGAGUAACACGUGGAUAACCUACCUAUAAGACUGGGAGAACUUCGGGAAACCGGAGCUAAUACCGGAUAAUAUUUUGAACCGCAUGGUUCAAAAGUGAAAGACGGUCUUGCUGUCACUUAUAGAUGGAUCCGCGCUGCAUUAGCUAGUUGGUAAGGUAACGGCCUACCAAGGCAACGAUGCAUAGCCGACCUGAGAGGGUGAUCGGCCACACUGGAACUGAGACACGGUCCAGACUCCUACGGGAGGCAGCAGUGGGGAAUCUUCCGCAAUGGGCGCAAGCCUGACGGAGCAACGCCGCGUGAGUGAUGAAGGUCUUCGGGUCGUAAAACUCUGUUAUUAGGGAAGAACAUAUGUGUAAGUAACUGUGCACAUCUUGACGGUACCUAAUCAGAAAGCCCCGGCUAACUACGUG
rnacentral:rRNA from 1 species